AUUAUUGCCCCUUUCUUCUGUUUUCUAGGCAGAGCUACUAAGAUGUUGGAAAGGAAUUUUUCCUCAAUUCUAAGUCCAACUAAAAGAAUGGAUCUGAAGAUCAAGAGAGGUUUUUGCAGUAAAUCACAGGAGGGGAGCAAACAAAAGCCUGAAGUAGGGGGGCAUUCCACCUUCAAAGUGCCAGGACACAAGCCCACAGACUGGGAAAAGAAGGUUCUGAUGUGGUCAGGCCGUUUCAAAAAAGUAGAUGAUAUACCAGAGACUGUCUCGCUUGAGUUGAUCGAUGCUGCUCGAAAUAAAUUGCGUGUGAAGAUGAGCUACCUGAUGAUUGCUGUGACAGUACUGGGAUGCAUCGUGAUGGUCGUUGAAGGAAAGCGGGUGCAUACAGACAUAAAACAGACCAGCGUACAAGCCUCUUAAACUGCACUCAGUCUAUACAGUCUUCAUAAAUGUCGUUUGUUACGUAGUUAGGAGCGUUAGUCAGAUCCUGGAACUAAUAUCCUUCAUUGGCUAUUGGAAGGCAUGAAUCUCUGACAACCCAGAACAUCGAAAGAAAAGCUCGCUAGGACGUUGCUCAGAGUGCAUCUGCCAAACCCUAGGAUUGGGAGGAGACCUGGGGAGAAGGAUACAAAGCUUAUACUUUCUUCAUUGAUGAGAGAGGGGUAGAUAUUCAUUGUUUGCUUUUACAUUAUGGUCCUCUGCUCUUAUGCUCUAGGAAAGACAAAUAAAUUAUUUGUAGUAAUACUAAAAA